GCAACGCGACACGUCUGCGCCCGCGACACGCGGCCGCACGGGGGCCCCCGCGCACGUGACACCCCCGCGGCACACGGCCGCACACGCCUGCACACGGACGCACACGCCUGCACACGGGUGCACGUGCCUGCGGAUGCAUGUGUGCACAUGCAUGCACACCAGCACAUGCCUGCACACAGCCACACGUGCUGUGCAUACCGCUGCGCACACGUGUGCACACGCAUGCAGACAGCCGCACACGCAUGCACACAGCUGCAUGCACAUGUGCACGCACAUGCAGAGCCACGCACAUGCGUGCAAAGAGCCACUCACGCGUGCACACACACGUGCACACACGCAUGCACUCGGCUGCUUGAACAUGCACACGGCUGCACACGCACGCACAGAGCCACACACACGCAUGCAGAGCUACGCACACUCGCACGCACACAGCCGCUCAUGCCUGCACACAGCUGCACACGCAUGCACACAUGUGCGCACACACACAGCGACAGAAACACGCAGGUGAAGAGCCACUCACGCAUGCACACAGCCGCUCAUGCACGCAACAGCACACACGUGUACGCAGCCACACGCACGCAGCCAAAGAGCCACACAGACGUGCACACAGCUGCUUGUGCGUGCAGACGGCCACACACGCAUGCAGACAGCUGCACACGUAUGCACACACACACGCACAGACAGAAACACGCAUGCAAAGAGCCACUCACGCAUGCACACACGGAUGCACGCAGCAGCACGCGCAUGCACACAGCCACGCACGCGUGCACGCAUGCAUGCAGACACGCAUGCACACAGCUGCUCGUGCAUGCACGCAGCUGCUCGCACACGCAUGCACACGCAUGCACAUGCACGCACACGCAUGCACACAGCUGCUUGUGCAUGCACGCAGCUGCGCACGCAUGUGCACGCACACACACAGAGACAGAAACACGCAUGCAAAGAGCCACUCACGCAUGCACACAGCCGCUCGCACACGCACGCACACGCGUGUGCCCCCGCUCCGCUCCCGCCCCUCCCGCCGCCGCCGCC
rnacentral:lncRNA from 1 species